CUUUCUACCGGAAAUUCAAAAAGUUUUUUUGUGCGAUAAAUAAGUACUCAAGCCUUGGACUAAUCUGAAUCAACAUGAUUUGAUAAAUUGGAUAAUUUAAUUUAAAUUUAUAAGUUAUAGGAUGAAUGAUUUACAUUCACUAAUAUUUUUAUUUUUAACUGAUCAGAAGGGUGGUAUGUAGAAUAAUUAUUGUCUAUCGGAUUCUAAAAAAUAUCCUAAUUUUUGAAAUUUAAAUAAG